UCCCUAAUAGCUCAGUUGGUAAAGAAUCUGCCUGCAAUGCAGGAGACCUGGGUUUGAUUCCUGGGUUGGGAA
rnacentral:tRNA from 1 species